ACGAACGCUGGCGGCGUGCUUAACACAUGCAAGUCGCACGGAAAGGCCCUGCUUUUGUGGGGUGCUCGCGUGGCGAACGGGUGCGUAACCCGUGAGUCACCUGCCCUUGACUUUGGGAUAACUUCAGGAAACUGGUGCUAAUACCGGCUAGGAGCUCCUGCUGCAUGGUGGGGGUUGGAAAGUUUCGGCGGUUGGGGAUGGACUCGCGGCUUAUCAGCUUGUUGGUGGGGUAGUGGCUUACCAAGGCUUUGACGGGUAGCCGGCCUGAGAGGGUGACCGGCCACAGUGGGACUGAGAGACGGCCCAGACUCCUACGGGAGGCAGCAGUGGGGAAUAUUGCACAAUGGGCGGAAGCCUGAUGCAGCAACGCCGCGUGCGGGAUGACGGCCUUCGGGUUGUAAACCGCUUUCGCCUGUGACGAAGCGUGAGUGACGGUAAUGGGUAAAGAAGCACCGGCUAACUACGUG
rnacentral:rRNA from 1 species